rnacentral:rRNA from 1 species
ACUCCUACGGGAGGCAGCAGUGGGGAAUAUUGCACAAUGGGCGCAAGCCUGAUGCAGCCAUGCCGCGUGUAUGAAGAAGGCCUUCGGGUUGUAAAGUACUUUCAGCGGGGAGGAAGGCGAUAAGGUUAAUAACCUUGUUGAUUGACGUUACCCGCAGAAGAAGCACCGGCUAACUCCGUGCCAGCAGCCGCGGUAAUACGGAGGGUGCAAGCGUUAAUCGGAAUUACUGGGCGUAAAGCGCACGCAGGCGGUCUGUCAAGUCGGAUGUGAAAUCCCCGGGCUCAACCUGGGAACUGCAUUCGAAACUGGCAGGCUAGAGUCUUGUAGAGGGGGGUAGAAUUCCAGGUGUAGCGGUGAAAUGCGUAGAGAUCUGGAGGAAUACCGGUGGCGAAGGCGGCCCCCUGGACAAAGACUGACGCUCAGGUGCGAAAGCGUGGGGAGCAAACAGGAUUAGAAACCCGUGUAGUCC